UGUCACUCACACAGGACUUCUGGUCCCACCUUCUAGCUGCUAACCUGUACUUCCUGUUUCAGACCUGCUACCUGGAGCUGCCCAGAGCCUGCAUUUUUAAGAACACCUAUCUGUACAAUGAUUCUAAGGUUUUCAGAAGUUAUUUCAAAGUAUAACCAGGAAAAAUUCUAAAAGGAAUUUCAACAGAGGAGAAGCACACAUUGGAGGUCCUAAGAAGAAAGAAAUCAUCUUUGGGAGAACUCAAGGGGAACUCAGGCAGCAGGAUACCCCGCCCUAUUCCCAGCAGGAAUAACCUUAAACCU